rnacentral:rRNA from 1 species
UACAGAGGUCCCAAGCGUUGUUCGGAUUCACUGGGCGUAAAGGGUGCGUAGGUGGUCAGGUAAGUCGGAUGUGAAAUCUCCGAGCUCAACUCGGAAACUGCAUUGGAAACUACCUUGCUAGAGUACCGGAGAGGAAACUGGAAUUUACGGUGUAGCAGUGAAAUGCGUAGAGAUCGUAAGGAAGACCAGUGGCGAAGGCGAGUUUCUGGACGGUAACUGACGCUGAGGCACGAAGGCCAGGGGAGCAAACGGG